CUGAUACUCUCUCCGUUUCAUAAUUCUUGUCUCAAAUUUGCCCAAAAAUGGAUGUAUCUAUUACUAAAAAAACGUCUAGAUACAUGUAAUAUUUUGACAAGAAUUAUGGAACGGAGGAAGUAAAAU
rfam:Brachypodium distachyon strain Bd21 chromosome 1, whole genome shotgun sequence.